GCCCGCCCCCUUCCCACCCCCAGAAGCCCCGCCUCCUCGCCUCUGGCCCGGGCGACCUCAUACAUAUGCAAAUAUGGAGAAAGUGAUUGGGCCCGCCCCCCUGCCCUCCUCUGGACCAGAGGGUCUCUUCUUCUCUUCCCUACCCGCACCCGACACUGGACUGGAUCAGGGUCGACGGAGGGAACUCAGGGAGGGUCCGGGCGGAGUAGAGGGAAAGAUAAGAUCGGAGAGGUACAGACACGCUGAGGGAAGCAGACUUAUGCUGAGAUGGGGGCCCCCAAGACAGGGAGUUGGAAAGACACUAAGAUCCAGGAGACAGGGCCGAAUGUGAGAGGAAUAAAGAAAGGGCCAGAAACCAAGAAAAACAGAAGAGACCAGCGGGAGUGCUAGACCAGGAGGGACAGAACCUAGACCAGGACACAUAGAGACAGGCAUAGGCCAACACAAGGGGAAAAUAUACUUGUGGGAGCUGCUACCACCGCCCCCAACACCUCCUUCUCCAGGUCCCACAGCCCCUUCUUCCCGCCACCUGCUUCUCUCCAAACCCAGACUUCUGGGGCUUCCCACCACAUCUCUCAGUGAAGCCCUCCCAACACCACCAUGUUCCCAGCCCCCAGCAUUACCGAGACCUGAGCGCUGCUCCCAACCCCAUGUGUGAGCCCCCUCCCCCAUCUUCAUCAGCAAACAUUUAUUAAACACCUACUACAGACCUUGUGCAAUGGGGGAGGGAGGGUAUAAGAGCUCUAAAGACCUUGUGUUAAGCUAAGAGUCACUACCUAUCUCAUUUCAUCUCUCUUCAGAGCUUUUCUUCUCCUUUCAACUCUCGCCUGAAAUCAGCAGCUCUAGUCCUUAAAAAUUCCUGUCCUGUCACUUUCUCCCUCGAACUCUCUCCCUGUAAAUCAAAGCCAGCUUCAUGGACUUGGAAUCUGCUCAGCUGAACAAGGUCUGUGCUCAGAAAGGCCUUGUUCUUGGUUUAGUGCUCUACUAGCACCAUCUUGGUUCUUAAUAAUUUUAUCUUUGAGCUUGUGCUUUGCAAGUGAAGUCCAAUGGGACAAGAGAACAUGCAUGUGAAAUGAGGAGAUAUGUAUGCAUAACAUGGCAUUCGUGGUGUUCCAUGAGCACAGAACUCUGGUGCACCUACCAUUCGUGGGAAUUCGAUGAGACUCCAUGUGACUACAAGGCCACCAUCAAUCUGGAGAGACGAGGCCUGGCUACCUUCAACAUACACAGCUUGGCAAACAUAGGUCUAGGGGUGGCCCCCAGACUGCUGGUCAAGAAAAGAAAGAACAACUGUCUUCUGUGCACUUGGGGGGUUCUGGGCUGAGUGGGCCCUUAAAAGAGAAGAUGGUACAUCCGGCGGUGGCCUAGAUAGCAAAUCUGCCAAUGGCCCCACCUCCUCCUCUUCUCCCGUGAGCUUCUCCACCAACGGCUCCAUCUCCUGGGGCUGAAGGCACCACUCUUUCCUCCCCCUCCCCCAUGGCCUCCUGCCACUCGGCUUUUCCUGCUGCCUCCCCGCUUGGCGCUAAGGAGUCUUCCAGGAGCGUGACCUGUCUUUUCAGUGCUGGAAGCCCAGGAACCACAUUUCACAGAUUCCCCUGACAGCAGAGUUCCACCAAUAAAAUGUGUGAAAUUC